AUUGAACGCUGGCGGCAUGCCUUACACAUGCAAGUCGAACGGUAACGCGGGGCAACCUGGCGACGAGUGGCGAACGGGUGAGUAAUGCAUCGGAACGUGCCUGGUAGUGGGGGAUAACUGCUCGAAAGAGCAGCUAAUACCGCAUACGACCUGAGGGUGAAAGGGGGGGAUCGCAAGACCUCUCGCUAUCAGAGCGGCCGAUGUCGGAUUAGCUAGUUGGUGGGGUAAAAGCCCACCAAGGCGACGAUCCGUAGCUGGUCUGAGAGGACGACCAGCCACACUGGGACUGAGACACUGCCUAGACUCCUACGGGAGGCAGCAGUGGGGAAUUUUGGACAAUGGACGCAAGUCUGAUCCAGCCAUGCCGCGUGCGGGAAGAAGGCCUUCGGGUUGUAAACCGCUUUUGUCAGGGAAGAAAUCUUCUGGACUAAUACUCUGGGAGGAUGACGGUACCUGAAGAAUAAGCACCGGCUAACUACGUGCCAGCCGCCGCAGUAACAC
rnacentral:rRNA from 1 species